rnacentral:sRNA from 1 species
UGGGAGGUCUGCCUUAUAUAGGACCCAUUGAUUAUGUGGCGUAUCGAGACGGAUAAUAGUGUGAAAUGGAGAAAGCCGUGAAAAUCGGCUUUACAAAUGGGGGGUUACGUCGUUCUUAUCGUUAUUAAUAGUUACGGAAGCUUUUCUAUUUCCUUGUUCCUAUUUACAUUAGUUGUCCCAAUGCUAAGCGACCCCCCAUCAUGUCUAUCCCCAUAAUUAUGUCGGAGGGAUCGAUUGAUUCGAUUGCAGUAUGCAAUACGGCGGUGUGCAGAGCUCCUGGGUAUCCCAGCUGGAAGACGACCUUGAUGAAGACUGCGUUAUCUUCAUUCUCGUUUUCCUCAAUGUCGUCAAUACUGUUUUGCAACAGCCUGCCAUCCAUCAUAUUCGAUUCCGAACUAUUUUGAGCACCCAAUUUUCCGCAUAUAAAAGAUCCUACAGCUCUCUACGAUAAUAAUGCAAUAUAGUUUUACUUUUAGUUUUACUUUACAAUUUUGGAAAACUUUCUUAUGAAAUGUUCACCAUAAAGGACCCCCUAAACGAUGCCUCACUGGCCGAACGAAAUGAA